UAGUCGGGGCUCGGGACCGGCUGCCAUCUUAGUCGAGGGACUGAGAAGUCGCCGCCGCCCCGAGUCCCGGUAACAUGUAUUUCACAGUGGCCUUCUGGAGACAGCGCCUUAACCCAAAGAAGUGACUUGAACGGUGAGAACUUCAGGUUUGCUGUCCUACUGGUGGUACGUCUGACAGUGGGUCACAACUUGGUACAGUGGGUAGCCUGAUCAUGAAAUCACAACUUCAGAUCACUGUUCUCUCGGCAAAACUUAAAGAAAA